rnacentral:lncRNA from 1 species
AGUCCCGGCUAGGGACACAGCUCUUAGACUUUGAGCUAGACAACCAGGAGGACAGGAGGACCUAGUAUCCUGCCUCCAUCAGCCCAUCAUUUAUGCAAAUGCUACUUAGUUGCCGUCUAGAUGCAGGAUGCUGUCUGCCCUGUUAAAUGCUGUGUGAACCCAGAUGGAAGCUGAGCAGACAUCACACUCGUGAGCAGCUCCCCUUCCUAUGCUGAGAUUAAAGGCAUGUGCCAUCACCACCUGAACAACAGCAGCUUUCUAAGGAACCAGUAAGGCACUACAGACUUUUCAUAUAACAUCACCUUCAUUCUCUCACAACUAAUUCUACAAAACAGAUGUUAUACGACCUCGUUCGCUGAAGUCAAAGAUGCAGAGGGGCCAAGGUGUGGGCUCCGGACCUCACACCAGUGUGGCAGAUUCAACAAGCCCAGAAUAAGCCUCUUCCUUUGCUCACAAUAAGAUUAAGCCAACUGCCUCUUCAUUCCUCAGUCACACUCCUCCUCUGACCCUGCUCCAGGAGGCUCAUCUUGUCAGACUUCACACUGAAUGAGCGCUGAGGAUGCUGUAGAGUAUGAGCUGUGUGCAGGUUUCAAAAGCAAUUUGUGCCCCUGAAACAAGCCAACCAGCAGAGAAGGAACAAAAGAAACAUGGUGUCUUCUACCUCCAGCCUUGAAGCUUCCAGACCUCCCUACACGAACCCCCCCCCCACACCCACUCCCCGAAAUGAUGUCCCAGUGAAGAGCCAGGCUCUUAUCCUUCCAUCCAUGCCUCUCAGGCGUCUGCUUCAUUUAGCAUGUAUGUGCAUUUUACCAGGUUAAUGCAACACAGACUAUUUCCUAGUAGCUGUGAAGCCCAGUGUAGCCUCUGCUGCCGGACACAUGGUUUGUCUCCAGUCUUUCCCUUCCCAGCAAAGCAGCCUUGACUCAUCUCCUUUCUCUAUGACAGAGCCCUUUAGAAUGUACUCACUGGGCCAACGAUGCAGUUUCAAUUUGGGUUUUUAAUGGAAGUGGGUGGCUAGGUAAGUGGGUUGAAUGACUGACUGAUUCUGAAUAGCUCUGAAUUUAUUGAGCUGCUUCCAGGAAGGUCCAGGUGACCUGGGUAGCAGAAAGGACACCCAUUCCUGUUUGAUGGUGUUUUUUUUCUAUCUAUCAUCCUUCCUGUCUUUCCUUCUUUAUUUCUUUCUGGGUGAGACAGGGUCUUAUAAUACAGUUUCAGCCAGCCUGGAACUCAUUAUGUAAACCAGGCUGGUCUCCAGCUCAUGGAGAUGAGCCUGCCUUUGCUUCCCAUGUACUGAAAUUAAAGCCCAGCUUGUUUUUUUCUCUUUACCACACUGGGGAUUCAACCCAAGGCUAGUAAGCACCCUGGCACUGAGUAUAUUCUGGACCUCUUCUUAUUUUAAUGUUGAUGUAGGGUCCUGCUAAGUUUCCCAGACUGACCUUCAACUCACUAUGCAAGUCCAGGCAGGCCUUGAACUCACGAUCCUCCUGGUUCAGCUUCCUGAGCUGAUGAGUGGCAGGCACCAUUAGUCUCAUUCGGAAGGAUGUGCUUCAUCCUUGGUGAAAGCGCUCAUCUCUUGUCUUGGCUGGCUAGAAUUUCCAGGGUGAAGAAAGGAGGAUUAGAAAAGUUCAAGGUCACCCUCCCCUACAUAGAGAGUUCAAGGCCAGGCUGGGCCACAUGAGAAAAACCAAAAGAACAGAUGGUGUUAGCAGGAGGUAGGGAAGGAGUAGGGAGGUCCAGCCCUGGGUGGGGCAGAGCCCCUGCUAAAGACAAGGGACAUUCCUUAGUGUCAACUUUCCCUUAGGAUGGAGAGGAGGGGUUGCUAGCUCGUCACACCCCACAGCCCUGGAGGACAGGAGCUUACUGUUGAGUUAGUGGGGCAGAGUCGGGGAGAGGCUGUCAUUUCGGCAGCCCUGGUACAUGGAGCCACUAGCAGGCUUCUUCGUCUCAUGUCUUCAUCCGCACCACCUCCUAGCAGCCUGCCCUCCCCAACUUGUCCACUUAAAGCCUGGGCCAGUGAGAUGACUCUGCAGAUAAAGGUAUUGUCACCCAGCCUGAGGACCUGAGUUCAAUUUCUGGGUUCCAUAUGAUGGAAGGAGAGAACUGAGUCCCUUAACUUGAUCUCUAACCUGCACAUGUGGAUUGUGAAUGGGCUUAUGUGCCCACACACCCUCUCUCUCACACAAUAAACAUAAGUAAUAAAUGUAUACAUGCAUAUACACAUACAUAAUACACACAUACAUACAUGCUUGAAUGCAUACAUACGUUCGUAUGUAUGUCCUUGCCACUCUCUUGGAACCUGACUCCUACAGAAUGUAACCUUGAUUUGUGCUCCAGGCUCACUUGACACCUGGCUUCUGUGGCUUGUUCGAGUCCUCUGUCUCCCAGACAAUGAGCUAGGAUUCUGGUCAUUCAGGUUCAGCCUGGGUGCAGAGAGUUUUGAGUGGGCCUGUCCACUGGAGACCACUCCUCUCGUCACCCAUGAAGCAUCUAAAGUUAAGUAUGAUGGUGCAGACCUGGAAUCCCAGAAUUCAGGAGGUGGGGGCAGGGAUUUCUAAACUCAGAAGUCAGCCUGAGCUAUCUAGAGAGAUGCUGUUUCAAAAAUUUAAAACAGCCGGGUGUGGUGGCACACGCCUUUAAUCCCAGCACUCGGGAGGCAGAGGUAGGCGGAUUUCUGAGUUCGAGGCCAGCCUGGUCUACAAAGUGAGUUCCAGGACAGCCAGGGAUAUACAGAGAAACCCUGUCUCGAAAAACCAAAAAUAAAAAAUAAAUAAAACAAAACCGAA